rnacentral:misc_RNA from 1 species
GAUGAAGAACGUAGCGAAAUGCGAUAAGUAAUGUGAAUUGCAGAAUUCAGUGAAUCAUCGAAUCUUUGAACGCACAUUGCGCCCGCCAGCAUUCUGGCGGGCAUGCCUGUUCGAGCGUCAUUUCAACCCUCGAGCCCCCCCGGGGGCCUCGGUGUUGGGGGACGGCACACCAGCCGCCCCCGAAAUGCAGUGGCGACCCCGCCGCAGCCUCCCCUGCGUAGUAGAACACACCUCGCACCGGAGCGCGGAGGCGGUCACGCCGUAAAACGCCCAACUUUCUUAGAGUUGACCUCGGAUCAGGUAGGAAUACCCGCUGAACUUAAGCAUAUCAAUAAGCGGAGGA